rnacentral:rRNA from 1 species
GACGAACGCUGGCGGCGUGCUUAACACAUGCAAGUCGAACGGAAAGGCCCUGCUUUUGUGGGGUGCUCGAGUGGCGAACGGGUGAGUAACACGUGAGUAACCUGCCCUUGACUUUGGGAUAACUUCAGGAAACUGGGGCUACUACCGGAUAGGAGCUCCUGCUGCAUGGUGGGGGUUGGAACGUUUCGGCGGUUGGGGAUGGACUCGCGGCUUAUCAGCUUGUUGGUGGGGUAGUGGCUUACCAAGGCUUUGACGGGUAGCCGGCCUGAGAGGGUGACCGGCCACAUUGGGACUGAGAUACGGCCCAGACUCCUACGGGAGGCAGCAGUGGGGAAUAUUGCACAAUGGGCGGAAGCCUGAUGCAGCAACGCCGCGUGCGGGAUGACGGCCUUCGGGUUGUAAACCGCUUUCGCCUGUGACGAAGCGUGAGUGACGGUAAUGGGUAAAGAAGCACCGGCUAACUACGUG